AUGUUGGGUUAAGUCCCGCAACGAGCGCAACCCUUGUGUUUAGUGCAAACAGGUCAAGCUGUGCACUCUAGACAGACUGCCGUGGACAACACGGAGGAAGGUGGGGAUGACGUCAAAUCAUCAUGCCCUUAUGAUCUGGGCUACACACGUGCUACAAUGGCCGGUACAACGGGCAGCGAAGGAGCGAUCCGGAGCGAAUCCUAAAAAGCCGGUCCCAGUUCGGAUUGCAGGCUGAAACUCGCCUACAUGAAGUUGGAGUUGCUAGUAAUCGCGAAUCAGAAUGUCGCGGUGAAUGCGUUCCCGGGUCUU
rnacentral:rRNA from 1 species